CCUACGGGAGGCAGCAGUGGGGAAUAUUGCGCAAUGGGGGAAACCCUGACGCAGCAACGCCGCGUGAGUGAGGAAGGACUUCGGUCUGUAAAGCUCUGUUAAUGUGGAAAAAUGGUAGCUGGUCUAAUAGGCCGGCUAUUUGAUGGUACACAUAGAGGAAGCACCGGCUAACUUCGUGCCAGCAGCCGCGGUAAUACGAAGGGUGCAAGCGUUGUUCGGAUUUAUUGGGCGUAAAGCGCGCGUAGGCGGACCUGCAAGUCAGAUGUGAAAUCUCGGGGCUCAACCUCGAAACUGCGUCUGAAACUACAGGUCUAGAAUCUUGGAGGGGGAAGGGGAAUUUCGCAUGUAGGGGUAAAAUCCGUAGAUAUGCGAAGGAACACCAGAGGCGAAGGCGCCUUCCUGGACAAGUAUUGACGCUGAGGCGCGAAAGCGUGGGGAUCAAACAGGAUUAGAUACCCUGGUAGUCCACGCUGUAAACGAUGAACACUAGGUAUUGGAGGCUUUGACCCCUUCAGUGCCGUAGCUAACGCGUUAAGUGUUCCGCCUGGGAAGUACGGUCGCAAGCUAAACUCAAUGAAUUGACGG
rnacentral:rRNA from 1 species